rnacentral:rRNA from 1 species
ACUCCUGCCGAUGGAUAUCUUGGCUCUCGCAACGAUGAAGAACGCAGCGAAAUGCGAUACGUAGUGCGAAUUGCAGAAUUCAGUGAAUCAUCGAACCUUUGAACGCAAAUGGCGCAUCCGGGCUCCGCUCGGACGCAUGUCUCUUCGAGGGGCGCCUCCAUCCUCCUCGGAGCGAGAGAGCACUCUCUCUCGUCUCCGGAGCCGGCGGCCGCGCGGGGGAGCCUCGGUUCCCCCGCGCGCCCGCCCAAGGCUGCCUUGCGAGCGCGGCGGCGGCGUCUAACCCGCGUCCCCGCCGGAGUGCUAAGUCCACGACUAGACCUCCGGCGGACGCGUGCCCCGUUCUGCCUCGCGACCCCCGGCGUGCGCGGUGCCUCUCCUCUCCUCCGGGAGAGCGGGGCCCGCCCGCCCCGGCGCGCGGCCGCUCUCUGUGCGGCCGCGCGCCUCGAAACCCGCCAUCGAAUGAGGCAAGACUACCCGCUGAACUUAAGCAUAUCACUAAGCGGAGGAGAAGAAACUAACCAGGAUGCCCCUAGUAAUGGCGAAUGAAGCGGGCUGAGCUCACGCUGCCAAUCUGGAGGCCUCGCGUAUGCAGCGCCCCCCGAAUUGUGGUCUAGAGAGGCGUUAUCGGCCGCGCCCGCCGCUCAAGUCCCUUGGAACAGGGUGUCGGAGAGGGUGAGAAUCCCGUACCGUGGCGGGUUGCGGCCUUACGAUGCGUCCUCGUCGAGUCGGGUUGCUUGGGAUUGCAGCUUGAAUUGGGUGGUAAAUUCCAUCUAAAGCUAAAUACUGGCGAGAGACCGAUAGCGAACAAGUACCGUGAGGGAAAGAUGCAAAGAACUUUGAAAAGAGAGUCAAAGAGUGCUUGAAAUCGGUAGGAGGAAACCCGGAUGGGCCCGGCUUCGGCGCGCCGACUCAGCCUGGGGUUCUCCCCAGGUGCACUUCUGCGCGCCGGGUCAGCCGCGCCUCGGCGCCGCGCCUCAACCCGGGAGCGGGGCUUUACGGCCAGCUCCCGUCCUGGCGCGGCCCGGGGCCCGGCUGACGGAACGGGCCCCUCCGACCCGUCUAGAAACACGGACCAAGGAGUCUGACACGUGUGCGAGUACCCGGGUGGCAAGCCCGCGUGCGGAAUGAAAGUGAAGGGCAUGCCCUGCCAACCGACCUUGACCUGCUGUGAGGGGUUUGAGUGGAGCACACCUGUCGGGACCCGAAAGAUGGUGAACUAUGCCUGGGUAGGGUGAAGCCAGAGGAAACUCUGGUGGAGGCUCGUAGCGAUACUGACGUGCAAAUCGUUCGUCGAAUCUGGGUAUAGGGGCGAAAGACUAAUCGAACCAUCUAGUAGCUGGUUCCCUCCGAAGUUUCCCUCAGGAUAGCUUGAACGCAACGGUUUUGUCAGGUAAAGCGAAUGAUUAGAGGCCUGUGGGCUGAAACAGCUUGCACCUAUUCUCAAACUUUAAAUGGGCAAGAGGCCCGGGAUGCUUGAGUGAUCCCGGGCGGCGAACGGCGCGUUCAAAGUGGGCCAUUUUUGGUAAGCAGAACUGGCGAUGCGGGAUGAACCGAACGCCGCGCUAAGGUACCCAAGUGUCCGCUCAUCAGAUACCACAAAAGGCGUUGGUACCUCCAGACAGCAGGACGGUGGCCAUGGAAGUCGGAACCCGCUAAGGAGUGUGUAACAACUCACCUGCCGAAGGUACUAGCCCUGAAAAUGGAUGGCGCUCAAGCGGACCACCGAUGCGCGGCCGCCGGCGCGAGCGCGAGGCGCCGGCGAGUAGGAGGGCGCGGGGCUCGCGGCGCAGCCUUGGGCGCGAGCCUGGGUGAAGCGGGCCCCGGUGCAGAUCUUGGUGGUAGUAGCAAAUAUUCAAAUGAGAACUUUGAAGACUGAAGUGGAGAAAGGUUCCGUGUGAACAGCAGUUGGACACGGGUGAGCCGACCCUAAGAGACAGGAAAACUCCGCCGAACGCGGCUGGUUCUGUCAGCCCGUCCGUCGAAAGGGAAUCGGGUUAAUAUUCCCGAGCCAGCGCGUGGAUGGUGGGCGGCGACGCGAACGAACCCGGAGACGCCGGCGGGAGCCCUGGGAAGAGUUCUCUUUUCUUCUUAACUGCCUCCUGCCCUGGAAUCGGUUUAGCCGGAGCGAGGGCUACACGGCAGGCAAAGCACCCUAAGUCUUGGGGUGUCCGGCGCGCUCCCGACGGCCCGUGAAAAUCCGGGGGAGCGGUUCGUUCUCACGCCUGGUCGUACUCAUAACCGCAUCAGGUCUCCAAGGUGAACAGCCUCUAGUCGAUAGAGCAAUGUAGGUAAGGGAAGUCGGCAAAAUGGUUCCGCAACCUCGGGAGAAGGAAUGGCUCUGAAGGCUGGGCGCAGGGGUCCUAGGCUCGAGGCCGGCUGGCUGCGCGGGGACUACGGCCUCACGGCUGCGGAUCCCGCGCGGCCGUCCGGCGGACGGCCUAGGAGCGCUCCGGCUCUCCCUGCGCGACGAACAGCCGCUUCAGAACUGGCGCGGACAAGGGGAAUCCGACUGUUUAAUUAAAACAAAGCAUUGCGAUGGCCCGCGAGGGUGCUGACGCAAUGUGAUUUCUGCCCAGUGCUCUGAAUGUCAAAGUGAAGAAAUUCAACCAAGCGCGGGUAAACGGCGGGAGUAACUAUGACUCUCUUAAGGUAGCCAAAUGCCUCGUCAUCCAAUUAGUGACGCGCAUGAAUGGAUUCGUGAGAUUCCCACUGUCCCUAUCUACUGUCUAGCGAAACCACAGCCAAGGGAACGGGCUUGGAAGAAUCAGCGGGGAAAGAAGACCCUGUUGAGCUUGACUCUAGUCUGUUACUGUGGAACGACUUGAUGGGUGUAGAAUAUGCGGGAGGGGCAACCCGACAGUGAAAUACCGCAACCGUCAACGUUGUUUUACUUACUCGGUGGCGCGGAGGGAGGCUCGCCUCACUUCUGGAUCCAAGCCGCUUCGUGCGCGCGAUCCGCGUCGGGGACACUAACAGGUGGGGAGUUUGGCUGGGGCGGCACGUCUGUUAAAAAAUAACGCAGGCGCCCGAUUUUGAGCUCAAUGAGAACAGAAAUCUCAUGUGGACCGAAAGGGGAAAAGCUCGGUUGAUUUUGAUUUUCAGUACGAAUACAAACCGCGAAAGCGUGGCCUAUCGAUCCUCUCGUCUUUGGGAAUUUCAAGCUAGAGGUGUCAGAAAAGUUACCACAGGGAUAACUGGCUUGUGGCUGCCAAGCGUUCAUAGCGACGUAGCUUUUUGAUCCUUCGAUGUCGGCUCUUCCUAUCACUGCCUCGCAGCGGGGGCCAAAUGCAGGAUUGUUCACCCACCAACAGGGAACGUGAGCUGGGUUUAGACCGUCGUGAGACAGGUUAGUUUUACCCUACUGCUGUCUGUUUUUCUACGGUAAUUUGGUUCAGUACGAGAGGAACCACCAAUUCGCAUCAUCGGUAUAGCCGCCGCCGGAAACGGCGAUGCGGCGAAGCUGCCAUGCGCCGGAUUAUAACUGAACGCCUCUAAGUUAGAAUCCAUGCCGGAAGGAAGCCACCUACCGGCCCGGGACGCCACGAGCAACGGUGCCGCAGCACUGCCUGAGCCGCGAGCGACCACAAUUCACGGACCCGGGCCGACGAAUCCCUUGCAGACGACUUGAAUAAGGAACGGGGUAUUGUACGCGGCAGAGUGGCCUUGUUGCCACGAUCCGCUGAGAUUCAGCCUUGGUUCUGACGAUUUGUUGCGCGCGCGCAACAACCCUCGCUUGGAGCCGCGCCAGGGCCUCUCCCGUUCCUCAGUCGCUCUCUCGGCGCUCUCGCCCUCUCGCCUCUCCUCCGAGCCUCACUCGCUCGGGGGCGGAGCCGAGAGGGCGAUUUCUGCCCAAGGCAGCGCGCAGGCCACUGCGCAGACACACCCGGCUCUCCCCGAGCCGCCACUGGGCGCUCCCGCGGUCCCCUCCGGGCUGAAUGCAGCCUCCGGAGCGGGCGGCGCGAGCGUCUAAGUCUACUCAGAGCCUUCCACGCUCUUCUUUGCGUUCCGAAGCACACACCGCGCUCCUCUGUGUAGCAUCGCCCGGCCAACCCGCUUGCCACUGUCAUUGCCCCCGCCGCCCUCUCGCACCACAGCCGCCACCGCCAUCUCUCCUGUCACCACCACCGUUACCGUUACCUCCACUGCCCUCGCCCCCCACGCCGCUGCCGGGCGGCGACGGCGGCGCCGCCGUCGCCGCCACCCGCGCCGCCCCUUCGAGCCGCCCCUGCUCUUGCCGUCGCCGUCGAGCCCGCCACCCUCCUCAGCUACCCCCCGCCCUCACCGCCGCUCUCGCCGCCGCCGCCCUCGCCGCCGCCCUCGCCUCCGCCUCCCGCCCCGCCCCCACCCCUCCAGCAUGCCGCCGCUCUCACCCUCUCGCGUCCAGCCGCCCCACCGCCCUAGGGAUGGGGGGAAGUAAUGUGAAACGAUGCAUGCGUGCAGCACGAACGGCUGCGAUUCAGCGGUCGCGCCGCUGACCGUUCAGGUCGAGCUCGGCGAGCUGAGCAAGAUCAUCCAGCGGCGCGACAGCUGAAUCGCAAGCGUUGAGGAACGUGAGACAGAUCGCGUUUCAGUUUCACAAAGGGUACCACCCUCCCUAGCUCGCCGCCCCCCUCUCGUCACCACCGUCACCUCCACCGCCUGGCCCUCACCGCCGCCCUGCCCCCCAAGGCAGCGCGGCAGCACUAAAACACCCGGCCCUCUCCGAGCCGCCACGGGGCGCUCCCGCGGUCCCCUCUGGGCUGAAUGAGAAUGUAGCUUUCGAAUUGGGCGGCGCGAGCGUCUUAUCCUCAGAGCUUUCCGUGCUCUUCUUUGCGUUCCGAAGCAUGCACUCGACUCCUCUAGCGUCACCCACAAGUCACCUCCAUUCCCACUGUCCUUGCGCACUUGGCCGAGGCGUUCGCCAGGCAGGCACGGGGCUCCCUCCAACCCACGUGCCCGCGCGCCGCCCACCUCCGCCCACCCGCCCUCCGGCAUGCCGUCCCGCCCCUCGCACUGUGUGGAACGGGCUAGCUCAAGGUUGCGUUAGAUUGUCAAUGGAGAAUGGCCGCGUUCUCGAGAAGUGGGUCAGAGGACGAAUGCGCACCGGAUCUUCGAGGACAUCAAAGUCGGCCGCGCCCCACGGCUAUCCCGCCGGCUCUCGAGUGUCGCAGCGCGACGCGCUUCCACCCCUCGACUCCGCGCUGCGAGUCGAUUGGGAGACGACGCUCGGCCACCGCCAACUCCACCCUGACGUGUCGCACAUGCGCCGAGUGUCCCCUCCGAGGGUGUUCUUGUAUAGUAUACUUGGUUGCGAGUUGAAAAAAGCCCAUUUCGCGCCCGCAGCCAGCAGCAAACAUGCCGUUCUGGUGCGCCAGAGGACGACUCACAAUGCAAAAUCGGAAAGACAUCACGAGGGGCCGUAUAAACAGUGCCGCAGCGGCCCGGGACACUAACAGUGAAUUGCUGCCACUCGCCCGGCCUCCUCCCCCUCGGGGUCGCCCGGAAAGUGGGUUUGCGCACCGGCGCCCCCCCCAGCACGCCGACCCGAGGUGUACCCUCCGGCCACCUGGGAGGGGAGCGCUCUCCCAAUUUGGCCCAUUGGCUUCACCAUGAUGGAUACGGAGGUGGCCAGCUCUUGGUUGUGCACCUGCGGCGCGAAGAGGAGGUGAUCUCGGCGGACGACGGCCAUGCCGAGAGCGGGCGCAGCGCGGAAGAGGGUGCGCAGCGCGUCGCGGCCGCGCGCUUGGGAGCCGGGGGGAUGGCCAGAGGGGAUGGGACGCCUGCAUGUCCUCGAAGCUCCCACCCGCAUACGCAAGCGCGGGGAGGGAGUUUUGGAGGGUCACCCAAGGACGCGCAUGGCGAGUGACAAUUUAACGCAACCUGCCCCCUCGCUGGUUUCUCAUCGUGCGCGCCGCGCCUCCCCCCCUCUCGCCUCCAGCCGCCCUCGCCUCACCGCGCCGCCAAAAUCUCGCUUCUCCACCGCCCUCACCCCGUACCACGGUAGGGAAGAAUAAGUAAGAAGAUACACCGCAACGCCACGCCACGUCCGGUCUGCAACGCUCACGUGUCACAACUUUGCCACCCUACAGCAUGACGCCACUUGCAGCCUGACCCCUGCGCCUGCCACCGCAGCCGCCGCCGCAGCUACGCGCGGCGGCUCCGAGUGCGAGCGCAAGCGCCGCCGCCGCCGCAAUGACGAGGAGCGGCGCAUCCAAAAACACCAGCCCGCCCAAUUCCCAGCCCACCCAGCGGCGCAGCGGCGCAGCGGCACGGCGCGCGAGCACGGUAGCGUCGCAGACAGGGCCCGGCAGCGCGCGGUCACUCCCUCCUGCAUCGCCAGCUCGGUCCCGGCACGGGUCAAGCUGCCGCGCCGCAGCGUCUGCAAAGAUGGGCCACCCCCUCGGCUUGAUCAGCAACUCCUCGAGGGAGCCUCGGUCGAGCGGCGGGAAGUACUCGCGCACCCGCCUCCGCCGCCACCAGCGGCCACACCGGCUGCUCGCAUUGAGCGCCGCGUAGGGCCCCGCCCACCCGCAUUGU